rnacentral:lncRNA from 10 species
CGGCUGUCGAAGCGGCUGCAGAGCCGGUAACGGUGGUGGCGGCUGUUGGGCCAAAGGCGAAAGACGAAGAGGAGGAGGAAGAGGAGCCGCUGCCACCGUGCGAGGCGGUGCGCUGGGCCCCAGUGGGGGCGGUGGCGGAGGCCCGGCCUGGGGCAACCGCGUUUUUAGAAGAGGCGACGGCCGAGGAGCCUGGCGCGGCCCCGGGCUCCCCGCCGGAUUCGCCGGGCCGGACGCUGCGGCGGCUGCGGGCAGAGCGGCGGCGGCUGGACUCGGCGCUGCUGGCGCUGUCCUCGCACUUCGCGCAGGUGCAGUUCCGCCUGCGCCAGGUGGUGCGCGGGGCGCCGGCGGAGCAGCAGCGCCUUCUGCGGGAGCUCGAAGACUUCGCCUUCCGCGGCUGCCCUCACGUCCUAGGUUACGAAGGGCCCGGCGACCCCGCCAGCGAUGAGGGCGAUGGGCUGCCAGGGGACCGGCCAUGGUUGCGGGGCGAGGACCAGAGUGAGCAGGAAAAGCAAGAGCGUCUGGAAACCCAAAGGGAGAAGCAGAAAGAACUGAUACUGCAGCUCAAGACCCAGCUAGAUGACCUGGAAACGUUUGCCUAUCAAGAGGGCAGUUAUGACUCGCUGCCACAGUCCGUGGUGUUGGAAAGACAGCGGAUGAAGUGGGAAGCCCCUUGCAGACAGGUGGUGGACACUGUGAGUGCAAGGCCGGUGGGAAGACAGGAAAUGGCUGCAGCAGAACAGGCAGCAGCAGAACGCCUCCAGGAAACAGCAAAACAAAGGCAGAGGAUGUGAAGAAAGUCCGGGAGACGGGGCUGCACCUGAUGCGGCGAGCGCUGGCCGUGCUCCAGAUCUUUGCUGUUAGCCAGUUUGGUUGUGCCACAGGCCAGAUCCCUCCAACCCUGUGGCAGAGGGUCCAGGCUGACAGAGACUACUCUCCCUUGCUGAAGAGGCUGGAGGUGU